rnacentral:rRNA from 1 species
UACGUAGGAGACGAGCGUUGUCCGGAAUUACUGGGCGUAAAGCGCGUGUAGGCGGACAGGCAAGUCUGCUGUGAAAGCUCCUGGCUUAACCGGGAGUGGUCGGUGGAAACUGCCCGUCUGGAGGACGGUAGAGGUAGGUAGAAUUCCCGGUGUAGUGGUGAAAUGCGUAGAGAUCGGGAGGAAUACCUGUGGCGAAGGCGGCCUACUGGGCCGGACCUGACGCUGAGACGCGAAAGCCAGGGGAGCAAACAGG